rnacentral:rRNA from 1 species
GACGAACGCUGGCGGCGUGCUUAACACAUGCAAGUCGAACGGAAAGGCCCUGCUUUUGUGGGGUGCUCGAGUGGCGAACGGGUGAGUAACACGUGAGUAACCUGCCCUUGACUUUGGGAUAACUUCAGGAUACUGGGGCUAAUACCGGAUAGGAGCUCCUGCUGCAUGGUGGGGGUUGGAAAGUUUCGGCGGUUGGGGAUGGACUCGCGGCUUAUCAGCUUGUUGGUGGGGUAGUGGCUUACCAAGGCUUUGACGGGUAGCCGGCCUGAGAGGGUGACCGGCCACAUUGGGACUGAGAUACGGCCCAGACUCCUACGGGAGGCAGCAGUGGGGAAUAUUGCACAAUGGGCGGAAGCCUGAUGCAGCAACGCCGCGUGCGGGAUGACGGCCUUCGGGUUGUAAACCGCUUUCGCCUGUGACGAAGCGUGAGUGACGGUAAUGGGUAAAGAUGCACCGGCUAACUACGUG